rfam:Capsicum annuum cultivar Zunla-1 chromosome 8, whole genome shotgun sequence
UGUUGAUGGUGUGGACAGUUCCGAAGAAAAGCUUUGAAAUGCUCCCAAGCAUGAUAGAGAUUCUCAUCUGGCUUCUGUUUGAAGAACACAAUCUCACUACAAAGU